CCUACGGGGGGCUGCAGUGGGGAAUAUUGCACAAUGGGCGCAAGCCUGAUGCAGCCAUGCCGCGUGUGUGAAGAAGGCCUUCGGGUUGUAAAGCACUUUCAGCGGGGAGGAAGGCGGUGAGGUUAAUAACCUCAUCGAUUGACGUUACCCGCAGAAGAAGCACCGGCUAACUCCGUGCCAGCAGCCGCGGUAAUACGGAGGGUGCAAGCGUUAAUCGGAAUUACUGGGCGUAAAGCGCACGCAGGCGGUCUGUCAAGUCGGAUGUGAAAUCCCCGGGCUCAACCUGGGAACUGCAUUCGAAACUGGCAGGCUAGAGUCUUGUAGAGGGGGGUAGAAUUCCAGGUGUAGCGGUGAAAUGCGUAAAGAUCUGGAGGAAUACCGGUGGCGAAGGCGGCCCCCUGGACAAAGACUGACGCUCAGGUGCGAAAGCGUGGGGAGCAAACAGGAUUAGAUACCCGAGUAGUC
rnacentral:rRNA from 1 species